rnacentral:sRNA from 1 species
AUUGGGUGAGGUUGAGUGACAGGUCGAGUAGCAGACAAAAAAUAAAACAUAGAUACUCGACUGCACAGUCUGUUGCUAGACAACUGGGUGGUCGAGUAUGAGGUCGAGUAACAAGAAAGAAUUGCAGAAAUUAAGCAACAGAUGACCAGAUGUAGUAAACAACAGUAGAGUAAAUAAAGAAUUCAAUCAGAUAAAGAAUUCCCGAGGAUGGGGUAAUUGAGUAGUUUCGUUUCCUCAAUUUACAGGUGAUUGACAUGCUCAAUAAAUUAUCCCUAGACAACGAGUUCAUUAACCAAAUUUAAGUGCCACCGCAACAGAGACCCUCAAGUUAACCUAGUCCCAGACUCAAUCACCAUUGACGAGAGCUAACCUAACAGGCAUUACGAAUCAACAAGUUAAAACCAAAACGCUCCCUGCAACAA